UUUUUAACGGGUCAAUAUUGUUGGUUAGAUAUUUAAUUAAAAUAAUUAGGAUGUGUUUAAAUUAAAUAUUAAUUAGCUUUGUUUUUAUGAUUUGUUAUUUAAUAAUUAUGAAAAUAUAUAUUUUUAGACAUUGGAUCCUCUUUUUCUUAAAUAAAAAAAAGCAACAAAUAAGUGAAUAAAACAAAAAGAAAAAUAAAAGAAAUAGAGACUCCAACGUCUCUCUCUUACACGCGUCCUCC
rnacentral:lncRNA from 1 species